GACGAACGCUGGCGGCGUGCUUAACACAUGCAAGUCGUACGGUAAGGCCCUUUCGGGGGUACACGAGUGGCGAACGGGUGAGUAACACGUGAGUAACCUGCCCACAACUUUGGGAUAACGCUAGGAAACUGGUGCUAAUACUGGAUAUGUGCUCCUGCUGCAUGGUGGUGGUUGGAAAGCUCCGGCGGUUGUGGAUGGACUCGCGGCCUAUCAGCUUGUUGGUGGGGUAGUGGCCUACCAAGGCGGCGACGGGUAGCCGGCCUGAGAGGGUGACCGGCCACAUUGGGACUGAGAGACGGCCCAGACUCCUACGGGAGGCAGCAGUGGGGAAUAUUGCACAAGGGGCGCAAGCCUGAUGCAGCAACGCCGCGUGCGGGAUGACGGCCUUCGGGUUGUAAACCGCUUUCAGCAGGGACGAAGCUUUUUGUGACGGUACCUGCAGAAGAAGCACCGGCUAACUACGUG
rnacentral:rRNA from 1 species